GAUGAACGCUGGCGGCGUGCCUAAUACAUGCAAGUCGAGCGAACAGACGAGGAGCUUGCUCCUCUGACGUUAGCGGCGGACGGGUGAGUAACACGUGGAUAACCUACCUAUAAGACUGGGAUAACUUCGGGAAACCGGAGCUAAUACCGGAUAAUAUAUUGAACCGCAUGGUUCAAUAGUGAAAGACGGUUUUGCUGUCACUUAUAGAUGGAUCCGCGCCGCAUUAGCUAGUUGGUAAGGUAACGGCUUACCAAGGCAACGAUGCGUAGCCGACCUGAGAGGGGGGUCGGGCCCCCGGGACACGGAACCCGGGCCCAGCCCCCGAGGGGGGGACGAGUGGGGAUGCUUCCGGAAGGGGCGGAAGCCCUGCCGGGGCACCGCGGGUGGGGUAAUGAGGUUUUUGGGUUGAAAAACCUCUUUUUUGGGGGAAAAAAAAGUGUAAAGUUACCUAGCCCCGUUUUCGGGGCCCUAAAAAAAAACCCCCGGGAACCAUCCG
rnacentral:rRNA from 1 species